ensembl:lncRNA
CCUGCAUCAGCUGUUUCCUGCAGCCCCGUGCUGUUGCUGGGUGUUGCUGUGCCUCCCCGCAGCUCAGCUCGCUGCAGCUCUCGGCACCCUCUCCUGCAGGCAGGCGCUCCUGCUCGGCCCCAAGUGCCAGCGCUUUCCCGAGCCUGCUUGCGCGAGAGACCCUGCUGGGCUGAGGUGGUGGCAGAAGCCUGAGGAUCUGCACAUCGCUACAGCACACCUCCCUUGUCCUGCACUGGGAAGUGAGAAGAAACUCAGGUCACUUGGAGCAUCCAGGCAUGAACACGUUGAAUCACAGAAUUUCCAAAGUAUGUCACAGGACCAUUUAUUUCUAACCUCAAAGUUAAAACAUUUUCUGUGAGUGACUUUCUUUUUCCACCUUCAUUUGCCCUUUGUUCAUUGCUGCCUUUGGUGUGAAUGGGUCUCUUUGUCAAUGGCCUGUUCUUUUCCAUUUUUCCGUUGUUUCACACAGUGAUGAAGAC